GGUCCCUGCCCUCUAGAAGCUCACAGUCUAGUUGUGUUCAUGUGCAAGUCAUCUACCCCCAGCUAGAUUGUAAGCUCCUUGAGGGCAGUUACC
rnacentral:pre_miRNA from 4 species